rnacentral:rRNA from 1 species
UACGUAGGGUGCGAGCGUUUAAUCGGAAUUACUGGGCGUAAAGCGUGCGCAGGCGGCGCGUUUAAGACAGGUGUGAAAGCCCCCGAGCUUAACUUGGGAAUUGCGCUUGUGACUGGCGUGCUGGAGUGUGGCAGAGGGAGGUGGAAUUCCACGUGUAGCAGUGAAAUGCGUAGAGAUGUGGAGGAACACCGAUGGCGAAGGCGGCCCGCUGGGCAGGAAGAUCUCGUAAGGGAUCGGCUGACGCUGAGGCGCGACAGCGUGGGGAGCAAACAGG